CCUUCUCAUAGUUUUGACAUUGAUCAUCCUUUUCAUUGUUGUCCUGCAGGAAAAAUAAACAGUGGGUGUGUCUUCUUAACAUGUUACACAAGAAAGACUGGAAAUAAACAAAUGUCAAAUAAGGACAGCCCCUUCCUGCCAAAGAGGGGAGUUAACACAAGGAAGUGACUCAUGCAUGCCGCGUGCUGAUUGGAUGAGGGAAGAUCCUCCAGAUAGACUGCGGCUGCAACACAGGCAGUGAAUGACAGGAUAUGUUUUUCAUUGUGUUGUUUUAUUCACUGGUCCCCACACCUUCCAAACCAGUAUGGGCAACCAGAUACCACAGUGAUUAUUAGUAUAGAAGUAGAACACAAUGCCACACUUUACAACCAGGAAACAGGAUCAGUUUUAUGUCUGAGUAUCACUGAUAAUGCCAGAUUGAGACAUUUAAACAUAUCUUUUAGCGGUUAAAUUCUCAGAACACUAAGGAUGUAAAGGGUCAGUUCUCCCAAAUUACAGAAGAUUAAUUUUCUCACUUAUAAAAGACAAGCGGAUGGAUUUGAUUGGAUUUGCCAAGGUUUCAAAAUACAAUGGAAUUAUCAUUUUUUUGCUGUGUUCACCGCAUUAAACAUUACAUUUGAACAUUUUUCAAAAUAGAAUUUGCCUCUCAUUUAUACAUUUGCAUGGUCUGUGAAACUAAAAUCUUAAUAUUCACAAUAACCAAAAUUAUCUAAUUAGGAUAUAUGGUGCAACUGAAGUGUAAAUGUAAACUGGAAAUGAAAUAUAGCAAAACAUAUGUUUAAAACAUUUGACAGCAACAUUUCUUUCCGGGAACAAUGUUACAGGUAUCAUAUUAAAAGACAGAAUAAGCUUGUGGCCCCAUGGUGAAUACAUACAUACAACAUUCAUAGCCAGGAUUUCAGUGAUACUGAGAUCUUCAGUUAUUAUUCCCCCAGCACACAUCCCCAAAAGAAAUUAUCCGCAAUGCUAGAAAGUAAUUAUGCUAGAGAAUUAUUAAAAAACCUUUAUUCAUUUUUUAUUGUUAUUGUAAGGCUUACAGUACAAAGUAAACUCCACCACAGAUCAUUAAAACCCACAAAUUCUUAGAAACAAUUCCAAAGACAUGACCUCUGUGUCCUCAAUCAGAGCUACGGCCCAGAAGGUGUUCCAUUUUUCUAUUGCAAAGACAUGCAUAAUGAAACUAUGAACCACUUGGUCUUCAUUAUCACUUUUUUAAAUUGGUUUCACACAUUUCUCACAUCCUUUUUCAAAACACUUAACACAGACCUAAUAGAAAAUGUACUUGUUUAGAUUAACUUUGUUAACAAAAGAAAUAGGUAUUCAAAGCUGAUAGAAAUGACUUUCACAAUUAUGAAUCUCUGAUGCAAAUGCGUGAAACUCCUUCGCACAACUCUUCAAUCAACAAUCGGUCUUAGACUAGGUCAAAACCUAGCCCAGGGCUGUUGUGGUCCAGUCAAAAAGAAUGACAUUACAGUAUUUCUGCAUUUGGGCGGCAUUCUUUUUAGUUUUUUAUGGUUAAGUAAGAAUGCAGUA